AGAGAUACCAACAUUAUUUUAAAACACAAGGGAGACAACACCCUGUUCAUCAUGGUUCUGAUAAAAAAGAAACGCUGGCAUUAUCAGAUCAUAUCAUCAACCGUGGAAACAAACAAAAGCAGGGAUAUAUUAAUUAAAAUAGUAGAACCUGAACAAACUGACAAGCACCAAGAUGCACCAGAACAGAUGAGAGAAUACCUGACUCUGGUAGAAGCACCAGUUCUUUUACACAAAGAAUCUGAAAAAAUGGAGACCUACAACCUAAUUGUGGCUUAAGCUGCUUUUAAGAACCUAGUUGGCAAGUUGCUGGUUUUCUUGGGGGGAAAGAAGAGGGAAGACUUUAAUCGUCUCUGUUCACAGGUCUGAAAAUGAGAGAAGUUUAAAAUUAAUCUGAGAUUACAAAUACUUCCAAAUGGAAUCCCUCAGUUCUGUUCUCUUCUAAAGUGCUUCCAGAAAGGUGACUUGGCCUGUCCAGUCAAGCCUCUGUAGCAGCCUUCGGAACCUAAGUGGCUUCAGAAUGGAAGCAUGGAGAAAAAGGAGGAAGAGAAAUAGUAAUAAAAGGCACAGGGGGAAGAGGAAAAAGAAUGUGUAAAAAGAAAGGUGUGCAAAAAGAAGAAUGGAGUAAUGAAACGAAUCUUCAGUGGGAAAAAAAAUUACCUGGGGGAAACUUGUUUGGCAGAAGCGCCAGUGUGCCAUGCUGUCCCUCUAGGUCAUGCCUGUGCUCAGGUGAUCCA